GUGGCCCUGUUGUACUCCAGCCCCAGAGCCAGCGUUGCAAACUCAGCGGGAGGCAGUGCACUGAGAGGAUCCUAAAGGCCACGAGACGCCUGGCACAUCCCAGGAUGCGGCUCAGAGCUAUCUUUCUGUCAAUCUCACUUGCUUUUCUCGCUUUUAGAGGUCCCGAACCACAAGCAAGUGUGGGAUACAUCCCCUCUGCUUCAAGUGGCAGGGACCCCUCGCGGUCACUUCAGAAGAACAGCCAGAGAAGGCCAGGGCCCAGGGCAGAAGCAGGGCAGAUGCAGGCCAGACCAGGGCGCGCUGUCCGGCAGACAGCCAGCUUGGUUUUCCGCAAGCAUCAAGAGACAAGGAAAUCUGUAUGGAUCGCAGGUCUAUUAUAAUUAUAAUUGUUUGGAAACAGCUCCUCCCCUGAAUUGCUUGCUUUGGAAUUAAGUGUAGAACCGCAAUUGAGGUAAAUGUUUGUUCACAGUUAUGUAAUUCUGCAACGCACUGUUCACAUAUUCUUUAAGAGAAAUGAAUACAUGUAUUUUAAUGUAAGGAAAUAGGCUCCGAUUGAAUGAAUGAACAGCCACAGUCUAGCUGUCUUGCCUUCUUGUGGGGGUCUAUAAAGAAGGAGUCACUAUAACAUGGUUGUUUCUGAUAUUGUAUUGCAGGUAAGUUUACAAAUAUCUAGAUCGAAUGAGAAUAAAAAUUUAGUGGUGGUGGACAGCUGGGUGUUUCCCUGACAUAUAUGAAAAGGUCUCAGGCUUAUCUGUCACUCUGAAAAAUUUAGUGACAGUAAUUCAGAACUCUGUAAAAGUUCACGCACAAUUAAUUGACAUAAUAGUGGAGUGAGUAAUAACUUUAAAAGUACAUCAGCUCUUCUCUAAUGAUACAAGAUGACUCAUGGUGAUUCUGGAGGUGUGGUUCAUAUUAACACAGGGUCCCACAGGCACCUGAGUGUGCUGGAGGACAUCGUAAGAGUGGUCCACUAUGACCUGUAGCAAGUUACAUCCUUAUUCAACAUUGCUUAGUCCUUUCUGAAAAAUCCCUGUCUAGAUUUACCCUCAGAAUUCUAACUUAAUGUUUUAAAACUGCUUUUCAUUUUUGACUGUCCCAAAUUGUGGGCCUGGUUGUCCAUUUCUCUCUCCUCAUCUCCAGUGGCUUCUGCAUAUUUAAAGCAUAAAUCUUUAAAGAAAGAUCAUUUCUUACCAUUAUUUUAAUAAGCCAUUUCAAAAGACUUGUGCCCCGCAUGGUGUGCUUAACCUCACUGAGAAAGUGACUCACUUCCCUGGGUGACAUCGAAGAUGCUCACCUGCUGCCCAACCAUGGUCAGAACUUUUUUGUUUUCUCUAUGACCUAGUUCAGUCACAUUUUCAGGAGAGCACCCAGUCAGACCUUCCUUCUUAACCUCCUUAGUUGAAGUUGUCACCUCAGGCAGUCCAGAGUAAUAUCUACUGUCUUGCACCUACUGGUCUCAAUCCAUCCGACCAGCUCAUGUCUCUCAACAAGGCCUCCACCAUCUCUUCCUCGGACCUAUCAGGCUGGCUUCUUUCAUCAAAGCACAGGAGAUACUCCGGACUGUCCAUGUCAACUGUUCUCCACACAAGAGCCCGUGUCGGCUGGUAAUGGGGCUCCACCUGCGACCACUCUCUCCCCUGCCCCAGACUCUGACCAGCCAGCCAGAGGCCUGUGGUCUUUACCCUGCUUGGCACUUGGUGUGGAAGCCUCUGGCUUUGCCAGAAUGACACAGACUUGUUACCAGUUCACGUGCAUGUGCCUGUGGUCUCGUUUUCUGUGGUUUGUUAUCUGUGGUAAAUUGUGGACCAGAAGUGUUAAGUGGAAAGUUCCAGAAGUAAAACAAAACAAAACAAAACAAAACAAAACAAAACAUGUAGCUUUAAAAUUACACACUGGGGAAAUGUGACGACCUCAGGAGCCAUCCUACCUGUACUGCCCUUGAUAUGGCUCAGCCCUCUGUCCAGUGUAUCCAAGUUGUAUGUGCUACACUGUCAGUCACUUAGCUGUCACAGCUCAUAUCUAGUAUUUGCAUUCAAGUAAGAUUUUAUUUAACUUAAUAAGUGACCCUCAAACCACAGUGCUGGCAAUUUAGAUAUAUGAAAGAAAAACUAUAAAAAAUGCUUCUUUCAAGUGAAAGCUGAAAGUUCUUAAUUUAAUAAGGAGUGAAAAUAUCAUAUGCUUAGGUUGCUAAGAUUUGUGCUAAGAGCAAAGUGUAGCACAAAGUGCACUGGGUUCUACACUGUCCCUGGCUGAGGUAGCCUCUGAGUGCACUGGAAGAGUUCAUCAUUAGAUACGGGAGCUGUUGUAUACUGACUAGUACACACACGCACACACACACUCACACGCUGAGACUAAGCCACAUAUCUCAUCCAUUCAGGUGUUCACAUACAUGCACAAUAUGCUCACACUAAGAGACAUGCACUGCCUCAGUACACACAUAGCUUACACAUGUGCUUGUAUAAGAUGCAUACAACCUUCCUUUCACAGUGCCCACAUAGCUCACACGCUCACAUUAACCCUCACACAACCUCUUUACCUGCUUUACACAUGCACACAUACAUACCUCACACAAUAGUUGUGCUAAUCCCCCUAAUCUCACAUACAUGCACAUGCAGCUCACAUCCACACUGUGACUCAUAUGCUUUUCACAUGCAUUCACAUAGCUUCCACAUCAUACUAGCCCUCAUCAUACUAGCAUUCUUCUGCUUUUCACACGCGUGCAUACUGCUGCCAACCCAGGCUGGGGAGAGUGUCCUCAGCAACAGAGAGGAGAGUCCACAAGUCUGUAAUGCUAAAUGCCCUGUGGCAAAUCCAUGAGAACAUAAUGAUACUCUCAGAGAUGAGGCCGUCCUCUGCUCAGGGACAGUGGGAUAAUCUUGGGAAGGAGUGGAUUGACUUCCCAAGGAUUCAUUGUUCAUCCAGGAAUUAUAGAUGAAGAUUUCAAAGGGGAGAUUAAAAUUAUGGCCCGUGUAAAAGGAGCGGUGCAAUUUAACACAGGUGACAAGGUUGCUCAGCUGCUACUGUCUGCCUUUGUCAAAGGCGAAGCCAUUCCAGCAGAAAGAGCCAGAGAGGUCUCCUGAAAACCUUGGCCACUGACCCAAAUAAAGCACUUAUUUCAC
ensembl:processed_transcript Gm10421 predicted gene 10421